AUUGAACGCUGGCGGCAGGCCUAACACAUGCCAGUCGAGCGGAUGAAGGGAGCUUGCUCCUGGAUUCAGCGGCGGACGGGUGAGUAAUGCCUAGGAAUCUGCCUGGUAGUGGGGGAUAACGUCCGGAAACGGGCGCUAAUACCGCAUACGUCCUGAGGGAGAAAGUGGGUGAUCUUCGGACCUCACGCUAUCAGAUGAGCCUAGGUCGGAUUAGCUAGUUGGUGGGGUAAAGGCCUACCAAGGCGACGAUCCGUAACUGGUCUGAGAGGAUGAUCAGUCACACUGGAACUGAGACACGGUCCAGACUACUACGGGAGGCAGCAGUGGGGAAUAUUGGACCAUGGGCGAAAGCCUGAUCCAGCCAUGCCGCGUGUGUGAAGAAGGUCUUCGGAUUGUAAAGCACUUUAAGUUGGGAGGAAGGGCAGUAAGUUAAUACCUUGCUGUUUUGACGUUACCAACAGAAUAAGCACCGGCUAACUUCGUG
rnacentral:rRNA from 1 species